CCUACGGGAGGCAGCAGUGGGGAAUCUUAGACAAUGGGCGCAAGCCUGAUCUAGCCAUGCCGCGUGAUCGAUGAAGGCCUUAGGGUUGUAAAGAUCUUUCGUGGGGGAAGAUAAUGACGGUACCCCAAGAAGAAGCCCCGGCUAACUCCGUGCCAGCAGCCGCGGUAAUACGGAGGGGGCUAGCGUUAUUCGGAAUUACUGGGCGUAAAGCGCACGUAGGCGGAUUGGAAAGUCAGAGGUGAAAUCCCAGGGCUCAACCUUGGAACUGCCUUUGAAACUCCCAGUCUUGAGGUCGAGAGAGGUGAGUGGAAUUCCGAGUGUAGAGGUGAAAUUCGUAGAUAUUCGGAGGAACACCAGUGGCGAAGGCGGCUCACUGGCUCGAUACUGACGCUGAGUGCGAAAGCGUGGGAGCAAACAGGAUUAGAUACCCUGGUAGUCCACGCCGUAACGAUGAAUGCCAGUCGUCGGGUAGCAUGCUAUUCGGUGACACNCUACGGNUUAAGCAUCNCUGGNGACGCGCAGUAACGUACAAGAGAGUAGCGNGNGAGAGCGACGACGACGACGAGAGGAG
rnacentral:rRNA from 1 species